rnacentral:rRNA from 1 species
CAGCCAUAUCACAUUGAAACGCCAGUUCUUGGACGAUCACUGAAGUUAAGCAACAUUGAGCCUGGACAGUACCUAGAUGGUGACCAGUUGGGAAUACCAGGAACUGUAUG